CUGGAAACAACAUCCUGAUGCUGUCUGGGUGUGGAAAAGCAGAACUCCAGCAUCAGUGAUUUUGUUGCUGG
rfam:Oryzias latipes DNA, chromosome19, strain: Hd-rR.